AGGAUGCUUUAAAGCAGUGUGGUCCACACAGACCUUGUGUCUCUUUGGCUUUUUGGUAUUAAAUAUGAUGCCACAUGUCAUGAGUGCAUCCAUUCUUCAACUAAGCUCUAACUCUUUACAUCAUAAUAUGAUGUUUUUCCUCCUUAUCUCUAUCUGAAGGAGUUGAAAAUAAUUUUUGCAUCUGAGCAACUGUAUGGACCAGGAUCUGGGGGACCAGCUAACCUGUGCACCAGAGAAUCAUGAAAUUCAUAUGUUGGCCUUGUCUGUGAAUACAGUUCCUAUACACAAAAUAUAAUAACACAUCUUUACUGAGCUGACCUACUGAAUGCCUGCACGUGUUUCUAAUUUGUGUGGGAUUGUUCUCUCAGUAGAUUCCAUUCUCCCUUAAAAAACACACAUGUACAAACACAAAACUUGGUUUAAAUGAAACAGACACCUUAAGAAUCUUAACAAGUAGAGUUGACCUUUGAACAUAAUUCUACAAAACUGCAAUGUGCUACCCAAGUGUUGCCAGGAGGCCUCGGACAGAUCGAUGGAUGACAACCUCCUUUCCUGCACUUCUGUAGGCACAGAUAUUAGAUCCAGAGGGGAACAAAUUCCAUGAGACCCAGGGCAAGGGUGACGUGGCCAAAAUCAAGUGGCGCUGCCUUUCCCACUGUGCCAAGCUGUCAUCAAGAGCCCUUCUUUCUCCCUGGAAACUUGCACCAUGCACUUCCUCUCAUUUGACAGUAGCAAGGCCUUUCAGGGCAGAGACCAUGGAGUGUGGCCCUUCUGUGAAAACAGAACAUCUAUGUACAGUAACAUAUGCAUUCGUACACAGGUGCAUACUUAGCCACAUGUAGCCAUCCAUGCAUGCAUGUUCUCAUUGAUUAAGAAUCCAGGUUUAUUGCAAUGCCACAGAUAGAUUUUAGGGAAUAAGAUAAUAGAACAAAACAAAACAUACUAACUCUACCAUGAGGGCAAUUUAACAUUUUGCUGAAGAGACAUUGGUAUCUUAAAAUAGCUUGGGUCAUCUUUUGGCCAUCCUUUCUCAUGGUAUUGUCCAAGGGCAAAAGUACUCCUUAAGGGAAUCCACUUGUCCAGGAUUGGCAGAUCCGUAGACAGAGGUGGAGUAGUGGCUUCCGGGGGCUGGGGGCAGCAGAGAAUGUGGAGGGACUACUUAAUGGGUAUAGGAUUGCUUUUUAGGGUGAUGAAAAUGUUCUGCAAUUAGAUUGUGGUGAUGGUUGCAAAACAUUGUGAAUGUACUAAAAGCCCCUGAAUGGUACGCUUCAAAAUGGUUUAUUCUUAAAGUUAAUCAAGUUGCUUUUUUUACUUGGGGAACUUGAAAGUUGGGGAUGAGUAACUCACGUAGAUUUUUAAAAAUCAAGCUCUCUUACAAAACGUUAAUGUUAGACCUGAAUUCGGAAGUGCCAUGUAAAAGGUUUUUUAGUUUGCUCAUAUAACAGGACUGAAAUGGUCUCCUGUGGCAUAAACUCUUUUGUCUUAGAAAACACUCAGUCAUGAAUGCUAUGAAUUUCUGUAUCGGAAAAUCUGAAUCAUCCUGAGACCCACAUGAGUUCCUUGAUGAAAAUGUGAAAUUAAUUUUGUACUAAAUAAAACUUGAAAAUGGUUUCAAUUAC
rnacentral:lncRNA from 1 species